rfam:Otolemur garnettii contig140933, whole genome shotgun sequence.
GCAACUGUGGCUCAAAGGAGUAGAGCGCUGGCCCCAUGUGCCAGAGAUGGUGGGUUCAAACCCAGCCCCAGGCA